GGCGAACGCUGGCGGCAGGCCUAACACAUGCAAGUCGAACGGCCGUAGCAAUACGGCAGUGGCAGACGGGUGAGUAACACGUGGGAAUGUACCCUUCGGUUCAGAAUAACUCAGGGAAAUUUGGGCUAAUACCGGAUACGCCCUUACGGGGAAAGAUUUAUCGCCGAAGGAUCAGCCCGCGUCCGAUUAGCUAGUUGGUGGGGUAAUGGCCCACCAAGGCUCCGAUCGGUAGCUGGUCUGAGAGGAUGAUCAGCCACACUGGGACUGAGACACGGCCCAGACUCCUACGGGAGGCAGCAGUGGGGAAUAUUGGACAAUGGGCGCAAGCCUGAUCCAGCCAUGCCGCGUGAGUGAUGAAGGCCCUAGGGUUGUAAAGCUCUUUCGGCGGGGAAGAUAAUGACGGUACCCGCAGAAGAAGCCCCGGCUAACUUCGUGCCAGCAGCCGCGGUAAUACGAAGGGGGCUAGCGUUGCUCGGAAUCACUGGGCGUAAAGCGCACGUAGGCGG
rnacentral:rRNA from 1 species